rfam:Paraphaeosphaeria sporulosa strain AP3s5-JAC2a unplaced genomic scaffold CC84scaffold_6, whole genome shotgun sequence.
GCCCGCAUGGCUCAGUGGUAGAGCGUAUCACUAGUAGUCGCUAUGAUAAGGUCAUCAGUUCGAUUCUGAUUGUGGGCA